GGCCGCCGCCGGUCGGAAAUAGUCUGUGUGUAAACUCGACGUGUCCGGAAAGGUGCGCGCAGCUCUCCGCCUCGCUCCGCGCCCGGCUGCGGGGCGCGUCCGCCGAGCGCGAUGCUGGACCCGUCCUCCAGCGAGGAGGAGUCCGAUGAGGUGCUGGAAGAGGAGCGGCGGGACGUGCUGGUGGCGGCGGGCGGCGGCUCUCCGCGCUCGCUGCCGCCGCCGCCCCGGGACCCGCGGGGCAGGGAGGCCGGGGCGGCGCGGGCGGCCAGCCCCAGCCCCUCGGUGCUGAGCGAGGGCCGGGAGGAGCAGGAGCGCCUGCAGCGAGAGGAGCGGGAGAAGCGGCUCCGGCUGCAGCUCUACGUGUUCAUCGCGAGGUGCAUCGCGCACCCCUUCAACGCCAAGCAGCCCACGGACAUGGCCCGCCGGCAGCAGAAGCUCAAUAAGCAGCAGCUACAGAUACUGAAGGAACGUUUCCAGGCCUUUUUGAAUGGGGAGACACAAAUCGUAGCAGAUGAAGCAUUUUGCAAUGCUGUGCGAAGUUACUACGAGGUAUUUCUCAAGAGUGACCGGGUUGCAAGAAUGGUCCACAGUGGAGGAUGUUCUGCAAAUGACUUUAGAGAUGUUUUUAAGAAAAACAUAGAAAAGAGAGUCCGAAGUUUGCCAGAAAUCGAUGGAUUAAGCAAAGAGACAGUGUUAAGUUCUUGGCUAGCCAAAUACGAUGCCAUAUACAGGGGAGAAGAGGACUUUUGCAAACAGCCGAAUAGAAUGGCCUUAAGUGCUGUAUCAGAGCUGAUUCUGAGCAAGGAACAGCUUUAUGAAAUGUUUCAGCAGAUUCUAGGGAUCAAAAAAUUGGAACAUCAGUUGAUUUAUAAUGCCUGCCAACUGGAUAAUGGAGAUGAGCAAGCGGCCCAGAUCAGACGUGAACUAGAUGGACGACUACAACUGGCAGAACAAAUGGCAAGGGAAAGAAAAUUCCCAAAGUUUGUAACAAGAGAAAUGGAGAACAUGUACAUAGAAGAAUUGCGGUCUUCGGUGAAUUUGCUGAUGGCAAAUUUGGAAAGUCUUCCUGUGUCUAAAGGUGGGCCGGAAUUCAAACUGCAGAAGUUAAAGCGAUCACAGAAUUCUGCGUUCUUGGACAUAGGAGAUGAAAAUGAGGUUCAGCUGUCGAAGUCUGACGUGGUCCUCUCCUUCACAUUAGAGAUUGUUAUAAUGGAGGUGCAAGGUUUAAAGUCAGUUGCUCCCAAUCGAAUUGUCUACUGCACCAUGGAAGUGGAAGGGGGCGAGAAGCUUCAGACGGACCAAGCAGAAGCUUCCAGGCCACAAUGGGGGACUCAAGGAGAUUUCACCACUACUCACCCUCGGCCUGUUGUCAAAGUAAAACUCUUUACAGAAAGCACUGGGGUGUUGGCACUGGAAGAUAAAGAACUGGGAAGAGUAGUGUUGUAUCCAACAUCCAAUAGCCCAAAGUCACCUGAUCUGCAUAAAAUGAUAGUCCCCAAAAACAGCCAAGACAGUGACUUGAAAAUUAAACUGGCGGUGAGAAUGGAUAAACCACCUCACAUGAAGCACUGUGGAUAUUUGUACGCUCUAGGACAGAAGGUUUGGAAGCGAUGGAAAAAGCGCUACUUUGUUCUUGUUCAGGUUAGCCAGUACACAUUUGCAAUGUGCAGUUACAGAGAAAAGAAAUCUGAGCCUCAGGAACUGAUGCAACUUGAAGGAUACACUGUGGAUUAUACAGCUCCUCACACAGGUCUUCAGGGUGGUCGAAUGUUUUUCAAUGCUGUUAAAGAAGGCGAUACCGUGAUAUUUGCCAGCGAUGAUGAGCAGGAUAGAAUACUCUGGGUUCAAGCCAUGUACAGAGCCACAGGUCAAUCGUAUAAGCCUGUUCCUGCAAGUCAAGCUCAGAAGAUGAAUACUAAAGGAGGAAAUGUCGAUGCAGAUAUAUCCCCACUUUAUACAGACCGUGGUCAGAAACAUGGCAUGGAUGAGUUUAUUUCUGCUAAUCCCUGCAAAUUUGACCAUGCUUCCCUCUUUAGACUGCUUCAGAGGCAGACCUUGGAUCACAGAUUGAAUGACUCCUAUUCUUGUUUGGGUUGGUUUAGCCCAGGUCAAGUCUUUGUAUUAGAUGAAUACUGUGCUCGCUACGGAGUGAGAGGCUGUCACCGCCAUCUUUGCUAUCUCAAUGAAUUGAUUGAACAUUCAGAAAAUGGUUCUGUCAUCGAUCCAACCUUGCUCCACUAUAGUUUUGCAUUUUGUGCAUCUCAUGUUCAUGGUAACAGACCAGAUGGAAUUGGAACAGUAUCUGUUGAAGAGAAAGAAAGGUUUGAGGAAAUGAAGGACAGACUUUCGUCCCUUUUAGAAAACCAAAUAAGCCAUUUCAGAUACUGUUUCCCUUUUGGACGUCCUGAAGGAGCUCUAAAAGCCACACUUUCAUUACUUGAAAGGGUUUUAAUGAAAGAUAUUGCCACUCCCAUACCAGCAGAAGAGGUGAAGAAAGUGGUUAGAAAAUGUCUGGAGAAGGCUGCUUUGAUCAAUUACACUCGACUUACAGAAUAUGCCAAAAUAGAAGCAACAGCAGAAAAGGACUCAGAGACCAUGAACCAAGCAACACCUGCUAGAAAACUGGAAGAGGUUCUUCACCUUGCAGAACUCUGUAUCGAAGUAUUGCAGCAAAAUGAAGAACAUCAUUCAGAGGCGUUCGCUUGGUGGCCAGAAUUAUUGGCUGAGCAUGCAGAGAAGUUUUUGUCUCUGUAUUCUGUUGAUAUGGAUUCAGCACUCGAGGCACAGCCGCAGGACUCCUGGGACAGCUUCCCACUUUUCCAGCUGCUGAAUAAUGCCCUCAGAAAUGACACAUUUUUGUGCAAUGGAAAUUUUCACAAGCACUUGCAAGAAAUUUUUGUUCCCAUGGUCGUCCGCUACAUCGAUCUCAUGGAAUCAUCAAUUGCCCAGUCCAUUCACAGAGGUCUUGAACAAGAGUCGUGGCAACCUGUCAACAAUGGCUCAGCUACAUCAGAAGAUCUUUUCUGGAAACUGGAUGCUCUGCAGAUGUUUGUUUUUGAUCUUCACUGGCCAGAACCAGAAUUUGCCCACCAUUUAGAGCAGAGGCUUAAACUCAUGGCUACUGACAUGAUAGAAGCCUGCGUUAAAAGAACAAGAAUUGCAUUUGAACUCAAGCUGCAAAAGACAAACAAAUCGACGGACUUGCGUAUCCCUUUUUCUCUGUGUACAAUGUUUAAUGUCUUAGUUGAUGCCAAAAAACAGACGGCUAAACUCUGCAUACUGGAUGGAGGGCAAGAGUUUGCUAGUCAAUGGCAACAAUACCAUUCAAAAAUAGAUGACUUGAUUGAAGAAACUGUUAAAGAAAUUAUUUCACUUCUCGUUUCAAAGGUUGUUUCAGUGUUAGAAGGUGUGCUGUCUAAAUUGUCAAGAUACGACGAAGGCACUUUCUUCUCGUCAUUAGUUUCAUUCACUGUGAAAGCAGCUGCAAAAUAUGUUGACGUUCCCAAACCAGGGAUGGAUCUAGCAGAUACCUACAUUAUGUUUGUUCGACAAAACCAGGAUAUACUUCGAGAAAAGGUCAAUGAGGAAAUGUACAUAGAGAAGUUGUUUGAUGUUUGAUUUCAGCAAUCAAGCUGUUCAGCACAAGAAAACAUCUCCUGUGUGGAAGCAAGCCAUGACAUAGCACUCGCCUUUGAGGUGAUGCAAAACCGUUCCUGUCCCCUUUUGCUCAGUAAUAUGCAUUGUAUGCUGUCAUGGCCAAUGCUUGUAGCUGUAAGGAAAGAGAAAAGAUGUACGUGAUAAGUAUUCUGCGUAUCAAAUAUCUAUUUGUAUCUUUAUUUUUCUUCAUAUAUGGUGGUAUCACGUUUCUUCGUAACAUCGCACUAGGAGAUAUAACCAGUUGGACAGAAUCAGAUAAAUGCACUAACAAAUAUGUAAGCUUAUAGCUUGCAGAAAUUUAAAACAAAGGCAUCUUACUGUGUUAACUCACCUUUCCUGAGAUUAAUUCAGAUUUAGAACAGUAUGACUGAGUAAGAUUUUGCCCAUGAUUUUUGGAAGGGGUUUUUAAAUUAGUGACACAACAAAAGCUGGUACUGUUUAUAAAUUCAAUUCUAUCAAGUUAUAUUUUAAUAGAAAGAGUAAAAUAUGUUCAAGUUUUUCUGUAAAUAUACUUUAAGCCAUUUGACUGGCUACAGUUGUAGAUCACUGUUGAUAUCCCCUUACAAUACGUUAUAUUUCUAUCAGAUAUGAAACCAUCAGCCAAGUGAAAUAAGAAAAAUGUACGUCUGUGUUUCAGCCAGAAACACCUCAUCCAGAAUAACCAAAAAACCCAGACAGUUCUGUAUGCUAGAAGUGAUAGUUAUAAAUAUAGACAAGAUCAGGCCUCAGACACUAUUUCAAUCCGAAAAAUGCGUACCUACAAACUAUUUAUGGACAGAUUUCAUUGACUUGAUUCAGGGCUGCUAUAUACUGGCAGCGACCAAGAGAAUGGGAUAUCUAUCAUACGAAGUAAUGUACACAUAAAAGAGGAUCAUUUAAAUUGAAGAAUAGUAUUGAUACAAGUAGAAAUGUCUGCCAGUGGGUCACAUAUAUGUUAAGGCUAGAAGUUGGAAAUUGUUCUGUCUGAGAAAUCUCAAAUUAGGGAGAAGACGAAAACUGUGCAUUGUUUUAUGGUGCUUGAUAAGCCUGGAAAAGCACUACCAUGCUAUACAAAAUGUGAAAAAUCAGGAGAAUGGAAUUUAAGCUUGAUAGGAAUCCUUACAUAUGAGAGAGGCUCAAAUCUCCAGGGGACUUUGAAAGAAGAUUGGACUGAUAGUUAUUUCUGCACCAUUUUUAAACCAUUUAAAUCAUGCUAUUCUUCAGUACCUCUGCUGAUCAUGCAGCAGAACCAAGGUGGGAUUUUUUUUCCUUCCUUUUCUCUGAAUAACUUGGCUUCUGGGUGCAUUUCAUUCUUCACCUCCUUUGGAAGGGGUGUAGACAGCAUGCAGAACAAUGAUGCCAUCCAGAGGGACCUUGACAGGCUGGAGAGGUGGGCCCAUGUGAACCUCAUGAAGUUCCACAAGGCCAAGUGCAUGGUCCUGCACGUGGGUCGGCGCAAUCCCAAGCACAACUAUAGGCUGGGUGAGGAAUGGAUUGAAAGCAGCCCUGAGGAGAAGGACUUGGGGGUAUUGAUUGAUGAGAAGCUCCACAUGAGCCGGCAGUGUGCGCUUGCAGCCCAGAAAGCCAACCGUGUCCUGGGCUGCAUCAAAAGAGGUGUGACCAGCAGCAGGUCGAGGGAGGUGAUUCUGCCCCUCUACUCCGCUCUGGUGAGACCCCACCUGGAGUACUGCGUCCAGCUCUGGGGGCCCCAGUACAGGAGAGACAUGGAGCUGUUGGAGCGAGUCCAGAGGAGGGCCACGAAG